AGUGGACAGAUAGGGAGAUGUGAUGUGACCCAAGAGGAGUCAUUCAAAUACACCUGAAAACUACAAGCCACCUUGGGAGGGCAAAGGCUUUCCAGGAAAAAUACCCAGGAAAAAGCGACCUGUUGAAGACAAUCGUCAGGUAAGCAGCCAUACCCUGGAACAAGAGUGUGGUCCUCAGUGGCUUUGCUGAGUGAACUUCUCCGAGUCAUCUCGCCUGGGAAAGAGAUUUCUCAAAGACCAUUUAAAGCUUUCCAGAGGGCAACAGCGAGACAGUUGUGAGCCAAGGUUACCAUAAAUGCUUCCACUCCGCCUGAUUUCAUUUCGGAAAUAAGGAAAGAAGCAGUCACCACUGCAGGCGUUGCUGACGCCUCAUCCAGCAGCCUCCCACCCCCAAUCCCUCCACAAUUAAGAGACAAUAAAAGUUAACGUUACUGUAG